GACGAACGCUGGCGGCGUGCUUAACACAUGCAAGUCGAACGGAAAGGCCCUGCUUUUGUGGGGUGCUCGAGUGGCGAAAGGGUGAGUAACACGUGAGUAACCUGCCCUUGACUUUGGGAUAACUUCAGGAAACUGGGGCUAAUACCGGAUAGGAGCUCCUGCUGCAUGGUGGGGGUUGGAAAGUUUCGGCGGUUGGGGAUGGACUCGCGGCUUAUCAGCUUGUUGGUGGGGUAGUGGCGUACCAAGGCUUUGACGGGUAGCCGGCCUGAGAGGGUGACCGGCCACAGUGGGACUGAGAUACGGCACAGACUCCUACGGGAGGCAGCAGUGGGGAAUAUUGCACAAUGGGCGGAAGCCUGAUGCAGCAACGUCGCGUGCGGGAUGACGGCCUUCGGGUUGUAAACCGCUUUCGCCUGUGACGAAGCGUGAGUGACGGUAAUGGGUAAAGAAGCACCGGCUAACUACGUG
rnacentral:rRNA from 1 species